UGUUAGAGAACGGUAUUUAUAUAUUUUUAUAUUUAACACUUUCCCUUCCGUUUGGGCUCGAAAUUUUUUGUAAGGCCCAUGACCUCCCACAGCCUUAUCUCUUCCUUCGCUUGCUCCGGCGUCCUCCUCUUGUCUCCUCUUUUUGCUUCUUAUCAGUGUCCUCUUUUCUCUAUCGCUGUCCUUUUUUGUCGUGCAUAUAU
rnacentral:lncRNA from 1 species